CAACGUCAACACCCGGAACUCUAUUGCAGCCAAUGAGCUCGAGUUGAAAAAGAAAAUAGCUUACAGCACGUGGUUUCACUCAGAUCCAUGCCAUCGCCAGGGAGACCUUUACCUGUGAUGUCUGCGGGAAGAGCUUGGCCACUAAACCAUCGCUGGUCAGCCAUCAACAGCUACACCAGUACCCCAACAUCAUUUUGUACCGGCAAGGAGAGGCCAGGCUGUACUGUACAAAGGCAGCAAGGUCUGUGGCAGAGGCCCGCAGCAGCACUGUUGUUGACCCUAAAUGGCUGGAUCUCAAGACAGCAGAGGCGGCUGCCAAGAGGUCGGGGGCUGAGCUGUGGAAAGGUCAGCUGGUCAUCACGUUCGGGUAGUACGCCGGUCAGACCUUCAGGUGGCUUGUGGAGAAUGAUGUCGGCUGGCUGGUGUGGCUGCUGUUCCAGUACUGCCAGCAGGGAGAGCAGAACGAGCUGCUGAAGUGGCAGAAGGAGCGACUGCUCCUUCGGCCACAAGGUGACUCCUCACCUGAAAGUGCUGUCGGACGCACCGUUCCCGGAGGCUCCUGCGCUGCCAACAUCCCUCCCUCCGCCAGACCGGCCUCAGGUCCAGUACCGGCUCAUCCAUCACGAGGCUGGAAAGAGACGUGGUGAGAAGCGGAGAUUAUUUGUUGAUGAGCCACAGCCUGUGACUCCCGCGAACCGACCCGUUCAGCCCACUGGGUUGUCGUCCUCCACCCGGCCGAAGCCUGCUGCGCUCACCCCCAUUCUGCCGAGGCCUUCUGCGCCCACCCACCUCCAGCCGAGGCCACCCGCUGCGUUGACCUACGGCCCACCCCCUGUGUCGGCAGCACCCAUACUGCAGGUCUUCCCCGCACAGCCACAGGCGCCCUCCGUCCUGUUUCGUGGGACAUCCUGCAGCCAGAGCUUUGUCCCUCCUGCACCAACAGUGAAGGCAUUCAUGCCUAACAAGUCCUCAAGGCCAUGUGGGGCUUGCCACAUGCCAAACUGUGGUGGACAGUGGAAGAGGUACAACCCUUUCAAGGACAAAGUGGCUGGAAGCAUUCAGAAAAUGUUUUCCUACUGUCCAUCCACUAGGAAGUCCACUACCCCUGGCUUCGACAAUGUGGUGCAUGACAACUUUGAACUCUUUAAGAGUGUCGUGGAUGCAGAGUUGGAAAGGAGGACUGUGUGUGUGUGUGUGUGUGUGUGUGUGUGUGUGUGUGUGUGUGUGUGUGUGUGU